rnacentral:miRNA from 1 species
CCAGGUGGGAAUGUGACACAAU